rnacentral:rRNA from 1 species
AUGUUGACAAAUUUGAUUGCAACAGGAAUUGGCAAAGUAAGUGCAGUGCUCACCAUUGCACAUAUAUUCAGGGCAAAAUCUAACUUCAGUCAGAAGAAGAUGACCAGGGAGGAGCUAUAUAUCCCUGUUGAAAGUUCAGUUGUCACCCUACUAUUAAAAGACGAUGAGAUCCUCGGCCACGCUGCCGUCUACUCCCCGGUGCGCGCCUCUUGCAUCAUCCCCCCGCUGCUUAUCCAGUCCCAGCUGCCGGAGAGUCCCGCCGCUGGCACAAGCACCUUGCAAUCGAGAUGUGCUUCUCCGCUGGUGCUGGAGUUAUGGACAUCUUGCAAGCUUACUUGCAGGUUAGUGCAUAUGGCGUUGGGUUGGCGUUGGUGCAGGUUCAGGUUCAUUCACAACACAUUCAGGAGAUCAAUGGAGACCAUCUCUAGGUAUUUCAAGCAGGUGCUUUUUGCUGUUGGGGAGCUUAGAGGAGAGAUGAUAAAGAGACCAUCUGGGCAGACUCCACCCAAGAUUCACGGAAGCCCAAGAUGGUAUCCAUACUUCAAGGAUUGCAUUGGAGCAAUAGAUGGUACUCAUGUCAUUGCCAGAGUUCCUAGGUAA